ensembl:lncRNA LINC02529 long intergenic non-protein coding RNA 2529
AUUGUGGGUGCCAGACCAGUGCAAGCUGCUAGGGACACAUAGAAGAAAAAGUCCUUAUCUCUGUUGCAGAAGUUGACAGGUUUCCAUUGGAAGGAGAAGACUGUCUUUAGCCCACUGCAUCCCCUCAAGCCAUCCCAAGCUUUCUCUGUGCCAGGGACUGGACGCACGCUAAAAUACGAACCUGUGUGGACUUCUUUCUUAGGAGCCUUUGCACCAGCACAAGAAAGAGACAGAGACAGUGAUGGCGAGACUCAAGCACGCAUAUCUUGAUGGACUCCAAAAUGCUCUUCCUAAUUCCUUCUCUGUGGCUCAUUCUUCAUCCUCUAUUUGCAUUGGUAUGCCAAUUCAUUGCUGACACUUCAGUGGAUGACUUGGAAGUGAUUUUUAAAAAAUUAUUACAUCAAUGUCAGUAUGACAAACUUUGCCAGUUCAAAUGUGUACUGCCUUGGAAGUGGCAUUGCAUGAGGAAAAAUUAUUUUCUAACAAAAAUAGGAAUAAAAUUCAAAAUUAUAUAUAAAAAUCUAAAAUGAAAACGACAGAACCUGUAGUAACCUCUGCAUGAUGUAAAGGUGGUUGCAAUAAAAAUCGCGAGGAAAACUGAAAA